rnacentral:rRNA from 1 species
CGGACGGGUGAGUAACGCGUGGGUAACCUGCCUUGUACUGGGGGACAACAGUUAGAAAUGACUGCUAAUACCGCAUAAGCGCACAGUAUCGCAUGAUACAGUGUGAAAAACUCCGGUGGUACAAGAUGGACCCGCGUCUGAUUAGCUAGUUGGUAAGGUAACGACUUACCAAGGCGACGAUCAGUAGCCGACCUGAGAGGGUGACCGGCCACAUUGGGACUGAGACACGGCCCAA